AAGGAUCAUUAUUGAAAUACAGGCUGUUUUGCUGGUUCUCUCAAGGGGGGACAUGUGCACGCUUGUUUGUGUCUUUAUUUUUCCAACUGUGCACAUGUUGUAGACCUGCAUGCAGGUUCUAUGUUGUAAUACAUCUUCACAACUUGUUUCAGAAUGUCGAGUACUGGGGAUAACAAAUAUACAACUUUCAGCAACGGAUCUCUUGGCUCUCGCAUCGAUGAAGAACGCAGCGAAAUGCGAUAAGUAAUGUGAAUUGCAGAAUUCAGUGAAUCAUCGAAUCUUUGAACGCAUCUUGCGCUCCUUGGUAUUCCGAGGAGCAUGCCUGUUUGAGUGUCAUCAAAAAUUCUCAACCACCGUGCUGUGUGGCUUGGAUUUGGGGCUUGCAGGCUUUGAACAGAAGUCGGCUUCCCUGAAAAGGAUUAGCGGUGUUUCCAACCACCUUGGGCAUGAUAAUUAUCUAUGCUAUUGGUAUUCAGGACCUGCUCAUAACCGAGUGUUGACAAAUUUGACCUCAAAUCAGGUAGGACUACCCGCUGAACUUAAGCAU
rnacentral:rRNA from 1 species